GACGAACGCUGGCGGCGUGCUUAACACAUGCAAGUCGAGCGGUAAGGCCCUUUCGGGGGUACACGAGCGGCGAACGGGUGAGUAACACGUGGGUGACCUGCCUUUAGCUCUGGGAUAAGCCUGGGAAACUGGGUCUAAUACCGGAUACGACUCCGCGGUGCAUGCUGUGGGGUGGAAAGCCUUGUGCGGCUGGAGAUGGGCCCGCGGCCUAUCAGCUUGUUGGUGGGGUGAUGGCCACCAAGGCGACGACGGGUAGCCGGCCUGAGAGGGCGACCGGCCACACUGGGACUGAGACACGGCCCAGACUCCUACGGGAGGCAGCAGUGGGGAAUCUUGCGCAAUGGGCGAAAGCCUGACGCAGCGACGCCGCGUGAGGGAUGACGGCCUGG
rnacentral:rRNA from 1 species